GAUGGCAGAUGAUCGCUGGCGGGAAGAAGUUGCCGCCAGAGGAAAGUCCGAACACCACACGGCAGCAUGCCGCGUAAAACACGCGGACAUCGUUCUCCCAAGAGGGCGGUGAUGGAAAGUGUCGCAGAAAAUACACCGCCCUUCGGCAGCGAUGCCGGCGGGUAAGGUUGAAAUGGCGAGGUAAGAGCUCACCGCGCGCGAAGCGAUUCGCGCGGCAGGAAAAACCCCAUGCGGUGCAAGACAAAACAGAGGGAGGGCAGCCGGUCCGUUGAUCCUCGGGUUUCGUCGCAUAACGGCGCGCGCAAGCGCGUCAGGCGUCUCGCGCAAGCGAGGCGAGAUAAAUGAUCAUCACGGCUGAGUAGUCAGCCGGACAGAAUUCGGCUUAUCGCCGUCACUA
rnacentral:RNase_P_RNA from 1 species